rnacentral:misc_RNA from 1 species
GAUGAAGAACGUAGCGAAAUGCGAUAAGUAAUGUGAAUUGCAGAAUUCAGUGAAUCAUCGAAUCUUUGAACGCACCUUGCGCCCUUUGGCUAUUCCGAAGGGCAUGCCUGUUUGAGUAUCAUGAACACCUCAACUCUCAUGGUUUGCCAUGAUGAGCUUGGACUUUGGGGGUCUUGCCGGCCUAUGGGUCGGCUCCUCUCAAAUUAAUCAGCUUGCCAGUGUUUGGUGGCAUCACAGGUGUGAUAACUAUCUACGCUUGUGGUUUUCCAUCAGGUAACCUUCAGUGAUGGAGGUUCGCUGGGGCUCAUAAAUGUCUCUCCUCAGUGAGGACAGCUUUUUUGAACGUUUGAUCUCAAAUCAGGUAGGACUACCCGCUGAACUUAAGCAUAACAAUAAGCGGAGGA